rnacentral:rRNA from 1 species
GAUUCUGGCUCAGGAUGAACGCUGGCGGCGUGCUUAACACAUGCAAGUCGAACGAAGCAACUAUCUUGCUUGCAAGAGAGUUGACUUAGUGGCGGACGGGUGAGUAACGCGUGGGUAACCUGCCUCAUACAGGGGGAUAACAGUUGGAAACGACUGCUAAGACCGCAUAACCCGCUAGUGUCGCAUGACACGGACGGAAAAUAUUUAUAGGUAUGAGAUGGGCCCGCGUCUGAUUAGCUAGUUGGUAAGGUAACGGCUUACCAAGGCGACGAUCAGUAGCCGACUUGAGAGAGUGAUCGGCCACAUUGGGACUGAGACACGGCCCAAACUCCUACGGGCGGCAGCAGUGGGGAAUAUUGGACAAUGGGGGAAACCCUGAUCCAGCGACGCCCGCGUGAGUGAAGAAGUAUUUCGGUAUGUAAAGCUCUAUCAGCAGGGAAGAUAAUGACAGUACCUGACUAAGAAGCCCCGGCUAACUACGUGCCAGCAGCUGC